GUUUUUAAAAGUAAAUUUUUCUUUAAGCAUCCAUGAUAAAAAUUGCUUUUUUCCCCCUCCAGUGUUGAAGAGUGCAGGAAAUUUGGAGUCCUAUGUUAGAAAUGUUUUUUAGCCACGAGGACUAGAGAAUGGCAGUUAGUGUACAUCAAUGAUUAUUGAUCCAGGAGAGGCUUUGGAUUGACUUAAAAUGUAAAAAUACGUUCUGGGUUCAAUCUAUCUAUUUUCAUUGUUGUUGAUCAGAUCUGUUUGGUUUUAUCACCUUUGGCAGAUGUUCCUGUGGUUUCUUAGGAGAGCCUCCCUCUACCCUGGUACAUGUGAUUAUAAGCAAGACUUUCUGAAGCGUAAUGCUCAAGACCAGAAUAGACUAAUGAGUCACUUGGACGUAUUCUGAAUCAAAGAUUUAAAAACCAAAGCAUGCAAAUAAAUGCUCCUAAUGCCUUAGCUCAGAGGAAACAUCGGUUUAUUUUAAUUUUAAGGCUAGCCAAAUGGCUAUUGCUCAAGGCAGCCAGAGUAAUGUUAGUGUGGAGAGCUGGCUCCAUAUGAGCAAGGGCUACAUGUUUUGGUGUGUUAUAGUAUUUAUGGUAUGCUAUUUUAUUUUAAUUAAUUUUGCAUAUUCUCUAUGUUACUAAUACAAUGUUGGACAUAUACAAAGUACUGAAUGAAUGACAGAGACCAGAGCAGAGGGGAGUAUUAUAAAGUACUGAUUGAUUAGGAUAUCAUAGGUUGGCUGGGACUGUCCUGCUUCAUGGCUCUUGUCUUAGUUUAAUCAUUAAUAGUAUCCUCUUUUGCUCUCACAAGUGUUUUGUUUGGAUGAUUGUUUUAUAGGGCCACUUUUUGACUGAGGUGGCUGAGUAAAAUCUUCUAGAUUCCAUGCAUUCAUCUCUGCCUGCACAGCAGUUGUCUGCCUGGCAAAAAUGUAAGAGCCACACCCAAAGGCACAUGCUUUUUAAUGCCCCCCCUCUCCUUCUUACCCUGCCUAAUGGCUGCAGUAGAUGCCUUUGUACUAAGCCUUUUCAGAUAGAUAAAUAAAACUGUUGAAGAAGCCCUAGAGGAUUAAAGCUCUGGACAAGUUGAUCUCUUUCUACUACCACAGCUGUUCCAGAUGGUGGUAAUACUUAUAGGCCCCUGAACACUGCAUUUGGGGCCAAUGGGAUGAAAUCCCAAGAACACAUUGAAACUGACAAGCUGUCUUGAUAUUUGCUCUUUAGCUCCUAAGCCAUGGAUUCGCUUCUCUAUGGCAGUUUGCACUUCUGUUUCCUUUAUUUCUUCAGGGACUUCUGCUUCAUUCCCUUUUUUCUUUAGAAGAAUGAGAAUUUAAAAGGCAGUACAUCUAAUUUGCUGAGGAUUUAGUGCCUCCUAAUUGCCCUAGAAGCCUGAAAAGUCAGGCUCUAGGAACAAGCUCAGAGGACUCAAAUUGAGACAAACAUUUGUAUUUUGACAAAGGCUAUGCAGCCUUCCGAUUGCUGCUCUCGAAGCAGAGUGUAAUAAAUGAGAUUGAGAAAACACUUGUACUUUUUGAAUUAGGGUUUAAGUUCCUAGAAACCUCUUGUUCUUGUUCAAUUUAAGAUUGAUAUCUGUGUUCGUUUAAAACGAAAAUGGUUCUAAACUUUUCUUGAGUCACUGAGCCCUCUGAGAAAAUGAUGACUGAGGAUCUUCUCCUCUCACAUGUGUACAUACAAAGAACAUUAUAUAUAUAAUUUCAGAAGUUUUAUGUUGCCCAUUCCACUCUGGAUUUUAGGUUAAUAUAGAAGAUAGUUGGUUGCCUUUCGCACAUCCAUGCUCUGUAUCCUGCAUUCCUUCUUCCUAUCAGAAACCUUAUUCUCUCCAGGUAUCUCACCCUCCUCCAUGGGAUGGUGUGAUUGAGAGGGGGCCCUGGCCUCUGGUCCCAGGGGUAGUGGGGCUGGGGGAAGAUGAUUGGUUGAAACCAAUUGGUCCAGCCAUGGGUAUGUGAUGCAUUUCUUGCAAAUAAGUAGAGUGUAAUCCUACUGGGUAGCUUUGGGACAAAGUUUCAACACUCUUAAGAUGAAAACCAUGCAGUAGUAUGGAUGAAGGAAUCUUGAAACCCUUUGUAGAUGUAUUAUAAGAUUGAGCAAAUGAGAAAAGAUAGAAAGAGCCCUAUGGGAUUAAUUGGAAUUGACAUAUUGGUGUGAAUUCAUGAUUUCCAAAAUAUGCAAGUGAAUGCAUAUGUGUGUUUUUAUUUGCAGAUGAAUGUAUAUGUAUAUUUAUAAAUAUGUGUGAAGACAUUUAUAUAUGUAUGUAUAUGUAUACAUAUAGUCAUAUAUUUCCUAGCUCUGACUGUUAAAAGGACUAAGAAGAUAUGAUAACCUGAUAACAAUGAAAACACCUGGUACCCAGAUUUUAACACCAUUCUUCACUUAAAAAAACCCUCAGAAAAACAAAAAACC